ACUGUCACUUGGGCUGUCACUGUCACCGGGAUUGUCACCACUGCUAGGUUUGUCACCAUUACCGCUGUCACCGUCACCAGGAUUGUCACCGUUCCUGGGUUUGUCACCGUCACCGCUGUCACCGUCACUGGGGCUGUCACUGUCACCGGGAUUGUCACCACUGCUAAGUUUGUCACCAUUACUGUCACUGUCACCAUCACUGGGUUUGUCACCUUGCUGAGUUUGUCACCAUUACCGCUGUCACCGUCACCAGGAUUGUCACCGUUCCUGGGAUUGUCACCAUUACCGCUGUCACCGUCACCGGGAUUGUCACCGUUCCUGGGAUUGUCACCGUUACCAUUACUGGGAUCGUCACCGUUAUCACUGUCACCAUUACUGGGACUGUCACCAUUACUGGGAUCGUCACCGUUAUCACUGUCACCGUUACUGGGAUUGUCACCAUUACUGGGACUGUCACCAUUAUCACCUUCACCGUCACUGGGAUUGUCACCAUUAUUGUGUCACCAUUACUGAGGCUGUCACCGUUACCACCAUCACCAUUACUGGGACUGUCACCAUUAUCACCAUCACCAUUACUGGGAUUGUCACCAUUACUGGGACCGUCCCCAUCCCCGUGCAGAGCAGCAGGAGAGGUGCGGUGAGGGUGAGUGUGAGUGUGUGCCUGUGAGUGUGAGUGUGAGUGUGGGGGGUCACGUUGGUGGUGGGUGUGCAACAGGUGUGAGCACGGCGUCGUGCAACACGGGGGGGGUGGUGGGGCAUGGGUGCAAGGCAGGGGUGCGCACAUGGUUGCUCACGUGUAGGUGCAAUGCACACUCUUGUGGA
rnacentral:lncRNA from 1 species